rnacentral:rRNA from 1 species
UUCCUUGGAAAAGGACAGCUGAGAGGGUGAAACUCCCGUCCGCCUGGUAGAAUGAGUCUUUGUCAACGAGUCGAGUUGUUUGGGAUUGCAGCUCUAAUUUGGUGGUAAAUUCCAUCUAAAGCUAAAUAUUGGUGGGAGACCGAUAGCGUAUAAGUACCGUGAGGGAAAGAUGCAAAGAACUUUGAAAAGAGAGUUAAAGAGUACCUGAAAUUGCUGAAACGGAAGCGAAGGAAACCAGUGUUUGUUGGUUCAUAUUUCCUUGGCCACUCGUGGUUUGGGCG